GACGAACGCUGGCGGCGUGCUUAACACAUGCAAGUCGAACGGAAAGGCCCUGCUUUUGUGGGGUGCUCGAGUGGCGAACGGGUGAGUAACACGUGAGUAACCUGCCCUUGAUUUUGGGAUAACUUCAGGAAACUGGGGCUAAUACCGGAUAGGAUCUCCUGCUGCAUGGUGGGGGUUGGAAAGUUUCGGCGGUUGGGGAUGGACUCGCGGCUUAUCAGCUUGUUGGUGGGGUAGUGGCUUACCAAGGCUUUGACGGGUAGCCGGCCUGAGAGGGUGACCGGCCACAUUGGGACUGAGAUACGGCCCAGACUCCUACGGGAGGCAGCAGGGGGGAAUAUUGCACAAUGGGCGGAAGCCUGAUGCAGCAACGCCGCGUGCGGAAUGACGGCCUUCGGGUUGUAAACCGCUUUCGCCUGUGACGAAGCGUGAGUGACGGUAAUGGGUAAAGAAGCACCGGCUAACUACGUG
rnacentral:rRNA from 1 species